rnacentral:rRNA from 1 species
GACGAACGCUGGCGGCGUGCUUAACACAUGCAAGUCGAACGAAGAGCGAUGGAAGCUUGCUUCUAUCAAUCUUAGUGGCGAACGGGUGAGUAACGCGUAAUCAACCUGCCCUUUAGAGGGGGCCAACAGUUGGAAACGACUGCUAAUACCGCAUACGAUCUAAUCUCGGCAUCGGGGGUAGAUGAAAGGUGGCCUCUACAUGUAAGCUAUCACUGAAGGGGGGGAGUGCGUCUGUUUAGUGAGUUGGAGGGGUAACGGAGCACCAAGGCGAUGAUGAGUAGCCGGUCUGCGAGGACGAGCGGCCACAUUGAGACUGAGACACGGCCCAGACUGCUACGGGAGGCAGCAGUGGUGAUUCUUCCGCAAUGGACGAAAGUCUGACGGAGCAACGCCGCGUGAGGGAGGACGGCCGUCGGGUUGUAAAGCUCGGUUAAUCGGGACGAAAGGCCUUCUUGCUAAUAGUGAGAAGGAUUGACGGUACCGGAAUAGAAAGCCACGGCUAACUACGUG